rnacentral:rRNA from 1 species
CGUAGGGUGCAGGCGUUAAUCGGAAUUACUGGGCGUAAAGCGUGCGCAGGCGGCUCCUUAAGUCAGAUGUGAAAGCCCCGGGCUUAACCUGGGAACUGCGUUUGAAACUGGGGGGCUAGAGUGUGGAAGAGGGGGGUGGAAUUCCAGGUGUAGCAGUGAAAUGCGUAGAGAUCUGGAGGAACACCGAUGGCGAAGGCAGCCCCCUGGGCUAACACUGACGCUCAUGCACGAAAGCGUGGGGAGCAAACAGG